rnacentral:rRNA from 1 species
AGAGUUUGAUUCUGGCUCAGGAUGAACGCUGGCGGCGUGCUUAACACAUGCAAGUCGAACGAAGCACUGGGUAUGAGACUUCGGGUGGAUUACCCUUGACUUAGUGGCGGACGGGUGAGUAACGCGUGGGUAACCUGCCGUAUGCAGGGGGACAACAGCUGGAAACGGCUGCUAAUACCGCGUAAGCGCACAGUACCGCAUGGUACGGUGUGAAAAGAUUUAUCGGCAUACGAUGGACCCGCGUCUGAUUAGGCAGUUGGUGGGGUAACGGCCUACCAAACCGACGAUACAGUAGCCGACCUGAGAGGGUGACCGGCCACAUUGGGACUGAGACACGGCCCAAACUCCUACGGGAGGCAGCAGUGGGGAAUAUUGCACAAUGGGGGAAACCCUGAUGCAAGCGACGCCGCGUGAGUGAAGAAGUAUUUCGGUAUGUAAAGCUCUAUCAGCAGGGAAGAAGAUGACGGUACCUGCACAAGAAGCCCCGGCUAACUACGUGCCAGCCGCGGC